rnacentral:lncRNA from 1 species
GCCAUAGAGAAAUGAAGGCAUAUGGCCACACACAUACUUGUACACAAAUGUUCAUAGCAGCAUUAUUUCCUAUAACCCAAAAUGUGGGAAAGAAUAAAUAUCCAUCAACACAGGAAUGUAUAAACAGGCCCCUGGUGCCCAGCUUUUGAUCAAACGUUACUUUGGAUGUUUCUGUGAGUGUUUUAAGUCUUUCUGUACACUCAGGACAUAGAGGAAGUCACCACAAAAUAUUCUAUUUUGAAGAUAAAAAAUCUGAGUUUUACAUCGAUUAUUUACCUAAGCCCACAGAGCCAGUAAUACCCAAGCCAAAACUUCAAAUCUAAGUGAUUUCAAAGGAUGUGAGCAAAAGCUUCACAUGGAACUGCCUGUAUGAGAAGAUGGUACAAUAGCUGUGCCUAGGACAUGAGAAGAUGAUGUCGAAGAGGUGAUUCAAAGUCAUAUCAAACCACACAGUGUGAUGUAUAAGCAUGCAUUUUAAAAAGAUGUGGACUUAUUUUACUUUAUGAGCCCUAAAACCUGGUGACAUUUACCUCAAUUUUGAAGGACACAAGAGGUAUAAAAUUAUACCUGCUUUCACAAAUAUUUUUGGCACACAUUAACUUGGGAAAGAUGUACAAAACCAAUAGUACAUCCAGUUCUUCACUGGCAAAUAGUUUUAACAUUGUAUUCGUUUUCAACCAAGUUGUUUUUUGAUUUGUUAAUUACUAUCAAUAAUUUGUAAAUUACUGUAAGUUCUAUCUUAAACUAAUUUGAGGAUGAAGAGAUACUUGGGAGUCUUAAAUUUUAGAAAUAUCCUUUUGGAAUUUGUGUUUAUGGCACAAUAAUAUCGUGUGGAUGUAUCACCCCUCGCUUUGUGUUGUGAUAGAAAAAUGAUACGGCUAAAACAUUACUGAGGGUCAUUUUCCUCAGCCUUCCUAAAAAAUAAAAUGUGUGUGAAUCCUGGGUAUUCCUUUCUCUUUUCCAUUUACCUCUUGGGCUUUUACAACUGCAAAGGCUACUUAAGAAUUAGCUAUUCUAGUUAUUAAUGGUAAAAUGGGAGUGUUGAUACUGAAUAUUAAAAUAACUUUUUAGUCAUUUUAAGACUGCUUUUCAG